rnacentral:rRNA from 1 species
CCUACGGGAGGCAGCAGUGGGGAAUAUUGCGCAAUGGGGGCAACCCUGACGCAGCGACGCCGCGUGAGCGAUGACGGCCUUCGGGUUGUAAAGCUCUGUCAAGGGGGAAGAUAAUGACGGUACCCCUGGAGGAAGCCCCGGCUAACUACGUGCCAGCAGCCGCGGUAAAACGUAGGGGGCGAGCGUUGUCCGGAAUUACUGGGCGUAAAGGGCGUGUAGGCGGUUAAGAAAGUCAGCUGUGAAAACCCAGGGCUUAACCCUGGACCUGCAGUUGAAACUUCUUAACUUGAGUGCAGGAGAGGAGAGUGGAAUUCCCGGUGUAGCGGUGACAUGCGUAGAUAUCGGGAGGAACACCAGUGGCGAAGGCGACUCUCUGGCCUGUAACUGACGCUGAGGCGCGAAAGCGUGGGGAGCGAACAGGAUUAGAUACCCUGGUAGUCCACGCCGUAAACGAUGGGUACUAGGUGUAGGGGGUUUAGAUACCUUCUGUGCCGCAGUUAACACAUUAA